GAUGAAGAACGUAGCGAAAUGCGAUAAGUAAUGUGAAUUGCAGAAUUCAGUGAAUCAUCGAAUCUUUGAACGCACAUUGCGCCCGGCAGUACUCUGCCGGGCAUGCCUGUUCGAGCGUCAUUUCAACCCUCAAGCCCUGCUUGAUGUUGGGGUCCCACGGCCGCCGUGGGCCCUGAAAGGAAGUGGCGGGCUCGCUACAACUCCGAGCGUAGUAAUUCAUUAUCUCGCUUAGGGCGUUGGGCGGCGCUCCUGCCGUUAAAGAACCAUCUUUAACUCAAGGUUGACCUCGGAUCAGGUAGGAAUACCCGCUGAACUUAAGCAUAUCAAUAGCGGAGGA
rnacentral:misc_RNA from 1 species